AUCUACCUUUUACAGGUAUGACAUGCGCAUUAGCCACAGGAAAAAAAGGAUGAAGAUGAAUCAUCUUGGGAUUCUGAGAGAGUCUCUGAGAGUCUUCCACUUAUUCGCAUUGGUGUUGAUGGAAUAUUACAAGUAAAUGGCCAAGCAGUAGAAAAUCCAGAGAAAUAUCUUCAUUGGCUGCCUCACAGAAAAAGGAAAGAUUCUGUCCCUGAACAAAUGAAAGGAGUCGAGGAUGUGAAGGCAUUUACAUCAG